UACGAAGGGGGCUAGCGUUGCUCGGAAUCACUGGGCGUAAAGGGUGCGUAGGCGGGUCUUUAAGUCAGGGGUGAAAUCCUGGAGCUCAACUCCAGAACUGCCUUUGAUACUGAGGAUCUUGAGUUCGGGAGAGGUGAGUGGAACUGCGAGUGUAGAGGUGAAAUUCGUAGAUAUUCGCAAGAACACCAGUGGCGAAGGCGGCUCACUGGUCCGGUACUGACGCUGAGGUGCGAAAGCGUGGGGAGCAAACAGGG
rnacentral:rRNA from 1 species